rnacentral:rRNA from 1 species
UACGGAGGGUGCGAGCGUUACUCGGAUUUACUGGGCGUAAAGCGUGCGCAGGCGGCCCGUUAAGACAGGUGUGAAAUCCCUGGGCUCAACCUAGGAAUUGCGCUUGUGACUGGCGGGCUCGAGUACGGUAGAGGGGGGUGGAAUUCCUGGUGUAGCAGUGAAAUGCGUAGAGAUCAGGAGGAACACCGAUGGCGAAGGCAGCCCCCUGGGCCUGUACUGACGCUCAUGCACGAAAGCGUGGGGAGCAAACAGG